AGAGUUUGAUCCUGGCUCAGAUUGAACGCUGGCGGCAGGCCUAACACAUGCAAGUCGAGCGGGGUUUUCGGACCUAGCGGCGGACGGGUGAGUAAUGCGUAGGAAGCUACCCGAUAGAGGGGGAUACCAGUUGGAAACGACUGUUAAUACCGCAUAAUGUCUACGGACCAAAGUGUGGGACCUUCGGGCCACAUGCUAUCGGAUGCGCCUACGUGGGAUUAGCUAGUUGGUGGGGUAAUGGCUCACCAAGGCGACGAUCCCUAGCUGGUUUGAGAGGAUGAUCAGCCACACUGGAACUGAGACACGGUCCAGACUCCUACGGGAGGCAGCAGUGGGGAAUAUUGGACAAUGGGCGCAAGCCUGAUCCAGCCAUGCCGCGUGUGUGAAGAAGGCCUUCGGGUUGUAAAGCACUUUCAGCGAGGAGGAAGGGAGUUGUGUUAAUAGCACAGCUUCUUGACGUUACUCGCAGAAGAAGCACCGGCUAACUCUGUGCCAGCAGCCGCGGUAAUACAGAGGGUGCAAGCGUUAAUCGGAAUUACUGGGCGUAAAGCGCACGUAGGCGGUUUUUUAAGUC
rnacentral:rRNA from 1 species